AUUGAACGCUGGCGGCAGGCCUAACACAUGCAAGUCGAGCGGAUGACGGGAGCUUGCUCCUUGAUUCAGCGGCGGACGGGUGAGUAAUACCUAGGAAUCUGCCUGAUAGUGGGGGACGACGUUUCGAAAGGAACGCUAAUACCGCAUACGUCCUACGGGAGAACGCAGGGGACCUUCGGGCCUUGCGCUAUCAGCUGAGCCUAGGUCGGAUUAGCUAGUUGGUGAGGUAAUGGCUCACCAAGGCGACGAUCCGUAACUGGUCUGAGAGGAUGAUCAGUCACACUGGAACUGAGACACGGUCCAGACUCCUACGGGAGGCAGCAGUGGGGAAUAUUGGACAAUGGGCGAAAGCCUGAUCCAGCCAUGCCGCGUGUGUGAAGAAGGUCUUCGGAUUGUAAAGCACUUUAAGUUGGGAGGAAGGGCAGUAAGCUAAUACCUUGCUGUUUUGACGUUACCGACAGAAUAAGCACCGGCUAACUCUGUGCCAGCAGCCGCAGUAAAAC
rnacentral:rRNA from 1 species